rnacentral:lncRNA from 1 species
UCUCCGGUUUACAGAAGCGAACCCAGCCAUCGUUUCCAAGUACGCGCAGAGAGAGAGAGCCACAAGAGUUAGAGCGAAACAUCAGCGUAUGGAUCUAGGGGCUCGAGCAAGCAAGAGAGGAGAGAUGCCUGCGUCAAUAGAUCAUGUAUGAGGAAGGUAAAAGAUGACCACACCUAGAUCAUAUAUACUAUAUUUAUUUAACCCAUAAUUCUUGAUGUGGCCUCGUUCUAAUCAAUUAGAUCAUGUCAGAUCACCUAUUUAUGUACAGCCCUACUAAUUUAUUAAAAAUGUGAUAUCUUCUAGGUCAAAUAAUUCGUUUUAAUCUAUUCAAGUUGGGUUAGGUUCAUAUUAAUUUUUGCGUAUGUAGUAAUAAUAUUGCUUUAAUUAUGUCACAUGGUUUAAUUAAUUAAUUACUUGUUUAAUUAAUGUUAAUCAGCUAGAUAAUCUAGUUAAGCUAAUUUAUAGUUCUAACCUACACAUUUUAUAAAUAAUUGUUAAUAAUUAAUACUGACUCAAAUAUUUUAAUUGAAUACUUAUUUAGUUUAAAUGCAAUAUUUGUUAGAUCAUAUCUAUUAGAUUUAUUGUGCCUAAACUAUCGUUUUAUCCAUAAAUUCUUUGUUUUAGCUCCGAUUUUACUGGUUCUCGAAACUACAAUCUCGUAGCGACGCGUAGAUUAUUAACACGUAGUUUAUUCUUAUGUUUGGUGUGAUGUUAAUUUUGCCUAUACAUGUUUGUCUGUAUUGCUACGUUUAGCAGUGAGGACACGAGUCAUCUGAAAAGCAAGUUGGUACCUAGAAUCUCAAGUCCCAGGCAAGUUGUGUCCUUGAUCACUUCCUUUUACCCACUCAUGUUCUAAUUAAUCAUAAUGAUCUGCAUAGGUUAAUUUUGAUGGGACCCAAUAGGUUACCCUAGUUUGAUUAUCUUUAUACCUUGUUUACCACUGAACUUUUUGGGUAGUACUUGCUAGUGCUUUAUGUGGUUUUGGGUAUGAAGAUACAUUAUUCAUGAUCACACUGUUAUUAUCCGUUUAUUAUUACUGUUCAUGAUAAGAUCAUUAUGUUAAUUGGAACAUGGAGCGACCACCCGGGAAAACAGUGCUACCACAAGGGUUUAAUGGGACGCCCUUGGCUGAUUAAUUAGGAAAGCUAGUGGAGGACUACCUUACCCGAAAGGGGCAAGGGCAGUAGGGGAGUGGUCAGUGUAGGGAGGCCCUCGGGAGGAUUUUGCUGCGAUGGCGGUCCUGCAAGGGAUUCCUGCAUUGGAGCUUCCUAUAAACUGUAGCGGGUUUUCUGAAGCUAGUGGAACUUUGUAAAGGCCUCGUAGUGUUACCCUGCCUCGCCUCCUCGGUAGAGGUGUAUGGGAAGUCGCGAUCCCUUGGCAGAUGGGUAACAUGACUUGUGGGUAAAGAUGCGCCACCUCUGCAGAGUGUAAAACUGGUAUACUAGCCGUGCUCACGGUCAUGAGCAGCUCGGACCCUCACAUGAUUAAAUUAUGGAACUUAAAUUCAAUUUGUCAUAUGCAUUGCAUCGCAGGUGAUGUUGUUACUUCUGUUCUACUAUAUAAUUGGGUUGGUAUUUACUUAUACUUAGUAAUUGCUAAUAAAAUUUUGACCAACUUUAAAAGCAAUGCUCAGCUCUAACCAUCCUCUUUGGUAAGCCUUACACUUCACAUGAGCUCCCACCUUUGGCGAGUUCAUACACAUUAUUCCCCACAACUUGUUGAGCGAUGAACGUAUGUGAGCUCACUCUUGCUGUCUCACACCCCCCCACAGGUCAAGAACAGGUACCACAGGAUGAGGCGCAAGGAGGAUGCUGCGAUGAGUUCGUGAGAGAUCUAGGCCGUCGUCUCCCAGUCAACUUUGGGUUGCUGGACCGUUGUCUCCUUAUAAUGUAAUUAUUUAUUUUGUAUAGAACUCCUGUUAUAUAUAAAGAUGUGACAUUCGAUCCUGUGCCACUAUACAUCAUAUGUGUGAGACUUGGUCCCAGCAUACCUGGUGUUUAUGUUCGCGCCCGGGUCUUGGUGCCCCGAAACCCGGGUGUGACAGAAGUGGUAUCAGAGGAAUGUUGACUGUAGGACGAAACCUAGAUAGAACUGGACAACCAUUAUCUACUUACCUUGCUACUCUGAUUCUUCUUAAACUUUUCUUAAUCUUUUCUCAUAUAUUUUCGCUUACUCUAAUUAUUCUUACCUUUUCUUUCUAAAGACAAAUGUGGAUUUCACACUUUGAAAUCCUGCACCUAAAGUGACCUUUAGGAAUAGGAGACCUACUCAUAGGAACAAAAACAAAACUAAUUUUAUUGAUAUCUAUGAACUUGAAUGUUUGUUCUUAUGACACUUGUCUGAUUUGACUCUUUGAUUGAGUGUGAUGGGUUGUGGAGUAAUGUCCACAAUUACAUCUGCAUAUACAUAUGCGUAAAUAUAAAUAAAUAAAAUUUAUAAGAUAACUAAACAACCUAGAAUAUAUCGAGCCUAAUAGAUCCAUCUUAUCUUAAAAGAUUCUCUCUUAUCUUAAUAGAUUCAUCUUAUCUUGAAAGGUUUGUCUUAUCCUAACCACUUUGCUUGUCUCAUUAUAGUGUAACAACCAGGAUCCAAUCCAAAAUAAUGAGAUCUUAUCUAGUCUAAUCUAGUCACACAAAUAUAACUUAGAUCCGAUCUAAUGUGAUAGAUUAAUCUAACCUAACAAAGGCUAACCUUAAGUUGAGUUAAUCGAUGUGGCUACUUAAACAUGUUAGUUAAUACUAGUGAAAUAGAUUAGACACUACUAGCUAUGUUUUAACCUAAAUUGAUGCCUUAUAACAACUUGGCCAUACACAACUACUGAAGAUACAUGAUGGGUUGUCUAAACCAUCCAUUCCAACCUAAACAUCAAACCAGAUCUUGACCUACCUCAUGUGGCUUAUCCUACCCACAUAUAUACCUACAUGACCUUAAAAACCUAGCUGGAGACACCAAGAUCGAAGAUGAUCAACCUCGUCAAGGGAGGAUAAGAGACAACCCCGAUCUAUGGAUGCAUCAAGAUCUACAAUCCAGGAUGGAUUCUUUCUUCUGCCUAGUCUUUCCUUACCAUAACCAAUUCUUAUCUUGCCAAAUAGGUGGCUAAACAUAAAAAGAUACUCGUGCUUUUCCAAUCACCUACUAAUUAGUAUUAAAGACUUAAAAAAACUCUUAAUUUUGAACCAAUUAGAAACUAGAAUCUCAAUUACAAAUCAAUCAUUGUAUAACCUCUUCUUUUACUAAUCUCGAGGACGAGAUUAUUUUUAGGGGGGUAGAAUUUGUAACACUUCAAAAAUCUUAUUUUUGAUAUUUAUAAAAGUUUCUAAAAAAAUCGAGUUAAAACAUCUUUUAAUAAUAGAUUUCUUUCUUUAUAAAGGAUAUCUCUCUAAAAUAAAUAAGUGAUAGAUACUAUAUUUCUUUGGUUAUGCUUUAAUUGGAUCAUACAUUUAAGGAAUUAUUCUCUUUCACUAGUAUUUACGUAUGUACAAAUUAUAUAUAUAUAUAUAUAUAUAUAUAUAUAUAUAUAUAUAUAUAUAUAUAUAUAUAUAUAUAUAUAUAUAUAUGCGUUUACUUAAAUUAGUAAUAAAUAAAUAUGUAAAAUGAACUUUACAUCCAUGUGUUGGAUUGAUUUUUGGAAACUCGGUCUAGUUUUUUUUAUAUAUUAAUUAAUCUAUUGAUAUAAGUAGACGCGAGCAAAUAAAUAGGAAUUAGUUUUAUUUCCGAUCAGCUACAAACACAUAUAUAAGUAUUUUAACCGGAGUAUACAUUUGAGAAAUUAUACUUUAGAAAUUGUUUCUGAUGAAUUUUAUUAUUUUGUGUGAAUGAAUUAUAUAUUUAAAAGCAUUUGCAUUAAUGAAUGAUAUAUAAAUAAAUAAUAACAUAAAAUUAUAUUUUGCAUGCUGGAUUUGCUUGAGCAUUAAAUAUUGAAAUUAAAAUUCAUUUAAAAUUAGAAUCUAAAAAAAGAAAAUAGAGAAAUAAUAAAAAGAAAAAAAAAGAGAAAAUAAAAGGGCCGAUGUCUCACCUCGUAGUGAGCCUAGGAUCACUCAUGCCCACCUCCCCUCCAACACAACCAGCCCACGUCUCUCCCUAUGCACAUUUUUUUAUUCCCCUAGCCGGAGACGUCAUGGCUGACUUCAUCCAUGUAUCAAUGACGCGUGAAGACCGCACAACAGGACCGCUAUCUCCUUCAUCCACGCAACAAAAUUCUGUUGAGAAAAAUCCGAUUCCUUCGUUGCUCCGACCGGGUAUCGUCUUCGGCCUCAAUAAAUAGACUGCCAUAUUCUUUCUCCGGUUUACAGAAGCGAACCCAGCCAUCGUUUCCAAGUACGCGCAGAGAGAGAGAGCCACAAGAGUUAGAGCGAAACAUCAGCGUAUGGAUCUAGGGGCUCGAGCAAGCAAGAGAGGAGAGAUGCCUGCGUCAAUAGAUCAUGUAUGAGGAAGGUAAAAGAUGACCACACCUAGAUCAUAUAUACUAUAUUUAUUUAACCCAUAAUUCUUGAUGUGGCCUCGUUCUAAUCAAUUAGAUCAUGUCAGAUCACCUAUUUAUGUACAGCCCUACUAAUUUAUUAAAAAUGUGAUAUCUUCUAGGUCAAAUAAUUCGUUUUAAUCUAUUCAAGUUGGGUUAGGUUCAUAUUAAUUUUUGCGUAUGUAGUAAUAAUAUUGCUUUAAUUAUGUCACAUGGUUUAAUUAAUUAAUUACUUGUUUAAUUAAUGUUAAUCAGCUAGAUAAUCUAGUUAAGCUAAUUUAUAGUUCUAACCUACACAUUUUAUAAAUAAUUGUUAAUAAUUAAUACUGACUCAAAUAUUUUAAUUGAAUACUUAUUUAGUUUAAAUGCAAUAUUUGUUAGAUCAUAUCUAUUAGAUUUAUUGUGCCUAAACUAUCGUUUUAUCCAUAAAUUCUUUGUUUUAGCUCCGAUUUUACUGGUUCUCGAAACUACAAUCUCGUAGCGACGCGUAGAUUAUUAACACGUAGUUUAUUCUUAUGUUUGGUGUGAUGUUAAUUUUGCCUAUACAUGUUUGUCUGUAUUGCUACGUUUAGCAGUGAGGACACGAGUCAUCUGAAAAGCAAGUUGGUACCUAGAAUCUCAAGUCCCAGGCAAGUUGUGUCCUUGAUCACUUCCUUUUACCCACUCAUGUUCUAAUUAAUCAUAAUGAUCUGCAUAGGUUAAUUUUGAUGGGACCCAAUAGGUUACCCUAGUUUGAUUAUCUUUAUACCUUGUUUACCACUGAACUUUUUGGGUAGUACUUGCUAGUGCUUUAUGUGGUUUUGGGUAUGAAGAUACAUUAUUCAUGAUCACACUGUUAUUAUCCGUUUAUUAUUACUGUUCAUGAUAAGAUCAUUAUGUUAAUUGGAACAUGGAGCGACCACCCGGGAAAACAGUGCUACCACAAGGGUUUAAUGGGACGCCCUUGGCUGAUUAAUUAGGAAAGCUAGUGGAGGACUACCUUACCCGAAAGGGGCAAGGGCAGUAGGGGAGUGGUCAGUGUAGGGAGGCCCUCGGGAGGAUUUUGCUGCGAUGGCGGUCCUGCAAGGGAUUCCUGCAUUGGAGCUUCCUAUAAACUGUAGCGGGUUUUCUGAAGCUAGUGGAACUUUGUAAAGGCCUCGUAGUGUUACCCUGCCUCGCCUCCUCGGUAGAGGUGUAUGGGAAGUCGCGAUCCCUUGGCAGAUGGGUAACAUGACUUGUGGAUAAAGAUGCGCCACCUCUGCAGAGUGUAAAACUGGUAUACUAGCCGUGCUCACGGUCAUGAGCAGCUCGGACCCUCACAUGAUUAAAUUAUGGAACUUAAAUUCAAUUUGUCAUAUGCAUUGCAUCGCAGGUGAUGUUGUUACUUCUGUUCUACUAUAUAAUUGGGUUGGUAUUUACUUAUACUUAGUAAUUGCUAAUAAAAUUUUGACCAACUUUAAAAGCAAUGCUCAGCUCUAACCAUCCUCUUUGGUAAGCCUUACACUUCACAUGAGCUCCCACCUUUAGCGAGUUCAUACACAUUAUUCCCCACAACUUGUUGAGCGAUGAACGUAUGUGAGCUCACUCUUGCUGUCUCACACCCCCCCACAGGUCAAGAACAGGUACCACAGGAUGAGGCGCAAGGAGGAUGCUGCGAUGAGUUCGUGAGAGAUCUAGGCCGUCGUCUCCCAGUCAACUUUGGGUUGCUGGACCGUUGUCUCCUUAUAAUGUAAUUAUUUAUUUUGUAUAGAACUCCUGUUAUAUAUAAAGAUGUGACAUUCGAUCCUGUGCCACUAUACAUCAUAUGUGUGAGACUUGGUCCCAGCAUACCUGGUGUUUAUGUUCGCGCCCGGGUCUUGGUGCCCCGAAACCCGGGUGUGACAGUCCUCCGGCAUGCCGAGAUGAUUGCCUUCGGAGGGACCCCCUAGAUCGACGUGGAAACAUUCGCGGCUUGGGCCGCAGUCCUCAUCGCCGAGGCUGCGGCUACCGUCGGAACAGUCGGAGAGGCAGUAGUCACAUGCGGUCAUGAAGCCCCGUAUGGCACUGGGGUUGCCAAGUCCAGAGAAAUCCCAACAGAUGCUGGGCUCGUCGUCUUCCUCGGACCCAGAGGGCCCGUAGGUCGAGACGUCCGUCAGCCGGUCCCAAGGCGACCGCAUGCGAAAC